rnacentral:pre_miRNA from 1 species
GGGUGAGGAUGAGAUUGAGAGAGAGGAUGAGAGGGGAGGAUGGGAGGGGGGAGUAGCAAAAGUGAAAACAAUUUGAAAUAGAUUUCAGUUUUCAGUUUUUGUUUUCACUUUUGUUACUCAUCCCUACCAUCCUCCUCUCUCAUCUUCUAUCUCAAUCUCAUCUCCACUCU